GAAUAUUGGACAAUGGGGGCAACCCUGAUCCAGCCAUGCCGCGUGGGUGUAGAAGGCCUUUUGGUUGUAACGCACUUUAAGCAGUGAAGAAGACUCCUAGGUUAAUCCCCAUGGACGAGGACAUUAGCUGCAGGAUACGCACCGGCUAACUCUGUGCCAGCAGCCGCGGUAAUCCAGAGGGUGCAAGCGUUAAUCGGAAUGACUGGGCGUAAAGCGGGCGUAGGUGGCUUGAUAAGUCAGAUGUGAAAUCCCCGGGCUUAACCUGGGAACUGCAUCUGAUACUGUUAGGCUAGAAUAGGUGAGAGGAAGGUAGAAUUCCAGGUGUAGCGGUGAAAUGCGUAGAGAUCUGGAGGAAUACCGAUGGCGAAGGCAGCCUUCUGGCAGCAUAUUGACACUGAGGUGCGAAAGCGUGGGUAGCAAAC
rnacentral:rRNA from 1 species